AGCUUUGCGCAGUGGCAGUAUCGCAGCCAAUGAGGUUUACCUGAGGCAUGAUUAUCGCUAACUGAAA
rnacentral:snRNA from 1 species